rnacentral:lncRNA from 1 species
CUGCACAGUGGAGCCAUGGCAGCAAGGUGAAGACGGAUGGAGCGCGAUGGAGAGCCGGGUGAGCGAUGAGCUCAUUAGGGAGGUCAGGUGGGGACAGCCCGGAGUUUUGAGAGGUGGAUGAACACUGGUCUGGCUGUGACAGGUGCUCCAUCUGGGGCUGCUGGGGAAGGGGCAAGGCUGCCCUCCCCAAGACCCAAAUACACGCAGACCUGGCAACAGUGAGAAACAGGACUGGCUUUCUCCUCAUGGGGCCAUGAAAGGGGCAGGUCUGGCUCCAGGUCACAGAGCAAGACAGUGGCAGAGGCAGGACCAGGGGAUGGCCAGGACCCAGAUGCUGCCUGUCCACACAGCAUGCGGCAGGGACCUGGAAGGGAGCACCAUGGGCUCCGCAGCCAGCUGGGCUUGGGGGCAAAUCACAGCUCCUGCUUCCCCAACAGGAGGACACAGGCCAAGCUCCCUGAAGGGCGCUCCUAGAAAACAGUCCUCAGGAAAGUGUGGGAGAUCACUAACUAGCACCAGUAAAGUAGUCAGGCCCACGGGGAAAGCCUUUGGAACCAUCUGGAGCGAUCGGAGUGAGAGAGAGAGAUGGGACCACUGUUGUAAGAAUAGCAGAAGGAGCCACUCAUGUCGGAGAAGCCUCCCCGUGUGGAAACGACCCUUGUGUGGGUAACUCAGGGUCCCUUGGGGGCCCUCUUUCUGGGAAGAGGCUGUAUUACCUUCAGUUUUCUGCUGCUGGGUCUCUGUUUCCAUGAUCUUUGCCAUUAGAGAAAUUUUACUUUCCAUCAGGGACCAUCUCAUCGUGACCCCCCCACGUGCUAACUUCUCUGAGCCCAGUUUCCUGAUGAGGCAUGGGGGCCACAGGACACAGGCCUGGAAGCAGUGAGAAGCAGUUUCAAGAGGGAGUGCAUCCAGGUGCAGAGAUCUGGGACCGAGAUCUCUUUCUUUGCCUCCCCCACUUCACCUGGGUACCCCUGUGAUGGUUACUAUUGAGUGUCAACUUGACUGGAUUGAAGGAUGCAAAGUAUUGUUCCUGGGUGUGUCUGUGAGGGU